GGGUGGUCCAGGUGUAGCAUAGCACCUACGGCUGCAACAACUAAUCGAUUAAAUCGAUAAAAAUCGAUAAUUAAAUUCGUUGCCAACGAAUGUAGUUAUCGAUUUUUAAUCGCCAACUAGUCGCGAGUGUUUUCGGACUUUAGUUGUAGCUUAAAAGCUGCGGAGAAGAGAGCUCCGGUGAAAUUUCCACAUGGAACCUCUCACACGCGGCCAUCUUUGUUGUGGGCGCAUAAGCACUGGGCAAGGAGCACUCACUGCGCAGGCACAGCAGCGACCACAACAAAGAUAGCUGCAUCCAGUUCGUCUCAGGCUUGCGAUCGUCCGAAAAGAUCAAAAACAUGGGAGCGUUUCACUCUCGAUAAAGUAAAGAAAAGAGUCACAUGCAAUAUUUGCAAAAUGGAUUUCGCUUGGCACGGGAGCAGGACCGCGAUGCACGAGCAUCUGAAGAGAAGACACGUGGGAGUCCUCGAAGCCGAUCCAGACUCCCCUCGGCACAAGAAGACCACAGGCGCCAUGGAUGACUACAUUCAAAAGCAGCAGACUUGUUCUCCACAACAAGCAGCUGCCCUCACCCUGUCACUUUUGAAUGUGAUCAUUAAAGACAUGAGGCCCAUCUCCAUAGUUGAUGGUGAAGGCUUUCAAGAGAUGAUUCACACCUUCAACCCUGAAUACCGUAUUGGCCCGAAUAUAAGACGACUCCGAUUAUAACAUGACCCCUAUUUUUCAAAGAUCAUUUUGUGGAAAAAAAAAAAAAAA